GGGGGUCAGCUGCAGAGUAGCUGGCUGAGGCACUUAAUUCAACAGCUCAAUGGCUACUCCCCCCAGUGGUGCUCACUUUGUAUGUGAAUGCAGGGCCUUUCACGGUGAGGAGGAGGACUGUGUCAGCAGAAGGAGCAGCAGAAGGUGCCGAGAGGACACAGCUUGGAUGUAGAAGACCACACGGGAGGGAGAAGUCUUCUGCAGAGGGAGGUGAAUGGCCCGAGGGUGGUGGCUGCUACCAAAAUAUGCUACCGGAGAACAGAAAAAACGGACUUCGGAGCCUAUUAUGCCCCUCGAAAUUCUCACUUGCCAGCCUGUCAGUGGUACUGAGCAGCACGGUGCUGUUGAACUGUGGGAGAUGCCUCCAGGUGUGGGGAACUAGGAAGAACCAAGAAGUCCUACCAGGGGCGCAGGGUCGUCAGUGUGCCCCGUUUCAGUAGGUUUACCAUUUUUGGUAUGUCCUAAAUCUCCUAUAGCCGAUGUAUUUCAUUGUCCAGGGCCGCCCUUCAUAAUGAAAGGUGGCGAUAAGUCCCACAGUCACCCAUUGGUCCCCCCGAGGUGCUGCUUCCCCGAUUUGUGUGCGCCAUUGUCUAUGGAAUAUUCGCAGUUGCUAAGGAUGCAGUGUUGCUCCUCCCUGUGCUGUUCCACUUCCUCAUUCCGUGAUCAGCUGGCUUCAAGGCAGAAACACCACAGCUGAAGGGUGCAGUGGAGCAAAAGUGCUCAGUUCACGGCAGCCAGGAAACAACAGCGUCAGAGUGCCACAGAGGAAGGGGCCUGGGACCACAUACAGAGCCCAAAGUCACGCCUCCAUGACUGACCCAGACACACCCGGAAGUGUGCUCUGCCAACCCCCCAUGUUGAUCCCAAAGCCAAUCAGACCAACCCCUCAUUCAGGCCACAUUCCAUUCCUUCUCACCUUAAGGAGAUGCCCAAACGCAUCUCCUUAAACCACACUUAAUCUCCAAAUAAAGACAACAUCCUAUGCGUAAUUCUGACUGACAUAGUACAACUCUACUGCAUUCAACCAGAAAUGCAACAAUACCUUCCUCAAAGCCUCAUCAGUUUUAGCAUUAUUUUUUUCUUUUCCUUGUUCUUUUUUUUUUGGUACUGGGGAUUGAACUCGGGUCCUUGAGCUUGUGAGGCAGUGGCGGAACCACUGAGCUAAAUCAAUCCCCGGCCCUUAGCUUUUCUCAAAGUCCAAGUCAAUGUUUCUUCUCAGACUCAAGGUAAAUUCUUAGCUGUGAAAGUCUGUAAAAAUAGAAUAACAAGUUGCACUUUCCCAAGGUAUAGUG
rnacentral:lncRNA from 1 species